GACGAACGCUGGCGGCGUGCUUAACACAUGCAAGUCGAACGGAAAGGCCCUGCUUUUGUGGGGUGCUCGAGUGGCGAACGGGUGAGUAACACGUGAGUAACCUGCCCUUGACUUUGGGAUAACUUCAGGAAACUGGGGCUAAUACCGGAUAGGAGCUCCUGCUGCAUGGUGGGGGUUGGAAAGUUUCGGCGGUUGGGGAUGGACUCGCGGCUUAUCAGCUUGUUGGUGGGGUAGUGGCUUACCAAGGCUUUGACGGGUAGCCGGCUUGAGAGGGUGACCGGCCACAUUGGCACUGAGAUGCGGCCCAGACUCCUACGUGAGGCAGCAGUGGGAAAUAUUCCACAAUGGGCGGAAGCCUGAUGCAGCAUCGUCGCGUGCGGGAUGACUGCCUUCGGGGUGUAAACCGCUUUCGCCUGUGACGAAGCGUGAGUGACGGUAAUGGGUAAGGAAGCACCGGCUAACUACGUG
rnacentral:rRNA from 1 species